rnacentral:rRNA from 1 species
UACGAAGGGGGCUAGCGUUGUUCGGAAUUACUGGGCGUAAAGCGUGCGCAGGCGGCUUCUCAAGUCAGGGGGUGAAAGCCCCCCAGCUCAACUGGGGGAAGUGCCUUUGAUACUGGGAAGCUCGAGUCCGGGAGAGGUGAGUGGAACUGCGAGUGUAGAGGUGAAAUUCGUAGAUAUUCGCAAGAACACCAGUGGCGAAGGCGGCUCACUGGCCCGGUACUGACGCUGAGGUGCGAAAGCGUGGGGAGCAAACAGG